CAAUAGCGUAUAUUUAAGUUGUUGCAGUUAAAAAGCUCGUAGUUGGAUUUCGGGUGGGACGCAGCGGUCUCGCAUUGCGUUUGUACUGCUGCAGCCCUCCUUCUUGCCGGGGGCGGCCUCUCGGACUUCACUGUCUGGGGGUCAGAAUCGGCGAUGUUACUUUGAGUAAAUUAGAGUGUUCAAAGCAAGCUUACGCUCUGAAUAUAAUAGCAUGGGAUAACACGACAGGACUCUGGCCUAUCGUGUUGGUCUAUAGGACCAGAGAAAUGAUUAAGAGGGACAGUCGGGGGCAUUCGUAUUCCGUUGUCAGAGGUGAAAUUCUUGGAUUUACGGAAGACGAACAUCUGCGAAAGCAUUUGCCAAGGAUGUUUUCAUUGA
rnacentral:rRNA from 1 species